rnacentral:rRNA from 1 species
UGCCCUACGGGAGGCAGCAGUGAGGAAUAUUGGUCAAUGGUCGGGAGACUGAACCAGCCAAGCCGCGUGAGGGAGGAAGGUACAGAGUAUCGUAAACCUCUUUUGUCAGGGGACAAAGACUGGGACGCGUCCCCGGAUGAGUGUACCUGAAGAAAAAGCAUCGGCUAACUCCGUGCCAGCAGCCGCGGUAAUACGGAGGAUCCGAGCGUUAUCCGGAUUUAUUGGGUUUAAAGGGAGCGUAGAUGGGUUGUUAAGUCAGUUGUGAAAGUUUGCGGCUCAACCGUAAAAUUGCAGUUGAAACUGGC